UCAAUUCAUUUACGUGACCAUCCCUUUUGUUGGCUCUUAUCCCCUUCUUUUCUUUCAUCCCCAACCAUCUUCUUUGCUUCCACCACGCUACUAAAUCUCUUUCGCCAAAAAACCCUAAUCCCCAAUUCCCAUGUUCACCCAAAAUUCAACAUAAUAAACCACUUAUUCGAUACGCUAGAACAAUGUCUAAACGAUAGGUAAGUCCAGCACUCCAUCAGAGAAAAGGAAGCUUAAAUCAAUUCAACAUAAUAAACCGUUUAUUCGAGAUCCAUUUCGAGGUGUUGGAAUGGUGGUAAUCCGGUUGUUAUUGUUUCUUGUGGUGGUGAUAUUCCAACUAAGGUUGUAUUGAAUGGUGAUUUGAGGAGGAGGCGGUCUAUUUCGGUUGCUUGGCAUCAGAUUAGUGACUCCGAGACAUGCUAUGUGCCUAUGGUAAAAAGAGUGAGAAUGAACGGGUUGACAGCAGAAAACUGGGGAAGAUUUGAAGAGCUUGGCAUCGGUUAACAUGGGGUGAUAUGAUCUUGCAAUUGAAUCAAGUCUAACUUUAGUACCCAGUGAAGAGUUUUUGGAUCGGAGUUCAAGUGCGAUGAGCGUUCAGCAGAAUUGAGUGCAAAUCCAUCUUUAUUUUUUCUAAUUUUAAGUGAAAUUUGCAGAUAGUUGAGGUUGUUUUUUGCAAGGUGGCUCUUCUCCAAAAAGAAAUGUAUACUCACUUUAUUCCGGGCAUUAUUCUUCCGAUAUGUUCUUCAUAUCUGUAGUUGAUAUGGACGGAUUUUAUGAUGGAAAUCAACUUGCAAUCGUCUAAGUAUGUUGAAGAUCUUUAUGCUUACUUUAGAAGGAUGGAGAAUUGAAUGACUAUAGCGAGCCAUACGAAUUGACUGACUCAUUCAGAUCAAUGUUCAUAUUGGUUCGCGAGUGCUGCUAUUAUGAAGUUGAAAUUUGGAUGCAUUUUGAUGACGAGAGAUGCUUCUGCUUUGAAUGUUGGUUUUUAAGUGAAACAAGCAAUCGUUGAAGAUGAACAAACAAAAGCAUUGGCUCAUAUAACUGCCCUGAAGAAGCUCUGUAAUUGUUAUUGGAAUGGCUGGAGUACUUGAUUAUUUAUUUAGAGUAAACUGCCAUUUUGGUCCUUGUGGUUUGGCCAGUUUUGCCACUUUAGUCCAAAUCUCAAACUUAUUA